CCUACGGGUGGCAGCAGUGGGGAAUAUUGGACAAUGGGCGAAAGCCUGAUCCAGCCAUGCCGCGUGUGUGAAGAAGGCCUUCGGGUUGUAAAGCACUUUCAGUGGGGAAGAAAGCCUUGGGGCUAAUACCCUCGAGGAAGGACAUCACCCACAGAAGAAGCACCGGCUAACUCCGUGCCAGCAGCCGCGGUAAUACGGAGGGUGCGAGCGUUAAUCGGAAUUACUGGGCGUAAAGCGCGCGUAGGCGGUCUGAUAAGCCGGUUGUGAAAGCCCCGGGCUCAACCUGGGAACGGCAUCCGGAACUGUCAGGCUAGAGUGCAGGAGAGGAAGGUAGAAUUCCCGGUGUAGCGGUGAAAUGCGUAGAGAUCGGGAGGAAUACCAGUGGCGAAGGCGGCCUUCUGGACUGACACUGACGCUGAGGUGCGAAAGCGUGGGUAGCAAACAGGGUUAGAUACCCCUGUAGUC
rnacentral:rRNA from 1 species